rnacentral:lncRNA from 1 species
GUGGAGGAAAGGUCAAGGUUUUGUCUAGAGUGUGGUAAGAUGCUGAACAGUUUUAUCCUAGAAACUAUUUACAUUGUUUUGUGUUUGUUUCUUGAAAUCUAUGUGGGAUGACAUCGAGUACCAUUAAGGUGGACUUUGGGAAGUUUGAUAGCAAGGGUAACUCUAGCCUUUCAUAGCAAAGGAUGAAGGAUCUAUUGGUAC